rnacentral:lncRNA from 1 species
AUUGCCGCCUCCGUCCUGACAUCCGUGGCAUGGAGAAUGGCAACAUGGAUCUGGCCAGUCAGGAGAAGGAGCGACUAGAGGAAAAGCAGCGAGAGGCCAGAAAAGAACGUGCCAAAGAGGAAGCAGAGUGGCGGACCAGUUGAAGUUAGAAUUGAGUCACAUUUCUACAAUUCCAAGGAACAUUACUACGAUCUAUUAAGAGAUUUAAAGGCACCAGCAUGUGAGUCGUCUACAUGUACACUCGGGCAGAACACCCAUACACAUACUACGAUAAAGACCAAUUACAGAAUCGAGCUGGAAAUGUGACUUGGUGGUGAAGCAUUUAACCAGGAAUGCACAGGCUGGGCUGGAUACCUAGCAUGGCAACAAACAAAAAUAAACUUUCCGUUUCUGAACAUAA